rnacentral:tRNA from 1 species
GCCGUUGUAGCUCAAUGGAAGAGCAUACCCUUGAAGCGGGUGAGACAGAAGUUCGAUUCUUCUCAACGGCA